AUUAACAUUAUGAAGUUUUGAACAGGUCAGGAUGGCAAACCUAGGGAGUUCAGGCACCAUGAAACAUAACUUCCUUUGCCAUCGGAGAGAAAGAAGACGGUAGGCGCGCUCAGGAGAUGACGCAGCAACAACCGUCGAGCGGAGGUUGUGUUUGGAGGCGACCAGCAGAGGCUGCAGCUCCCACAGCUCGCGUGCGAACGAUGUGGCCGGACGACGAUUGAAGCGGCGUUUCUGUUUUGGCGGCGUGCUUUCGCGUGUGGAUGGAGCUCGUACGCCAGGAAGAACUGGCGUCUUGAUGGAGCUCGUACGCCAGGAAGAACUGGCGUUCGUUGGCGGGUCGAAGAAGUUUGAUUUUUGGUCGAUGGACCUCGUCCUCGUUCGUGGGUUGCGGAGCUGUUUUUUUGUUGACUGGGCGCGAUCGUGGGGUUCCAUGGACUUAUCGUUCGUGUGUUGAACUGUGGAUCUCGUACGUGGGCUGAGUUGUUGUAUUUUUUUUUGCGGGCGCUGAGUUGGUGUUUUUUCGUACGUGGGCUAUGUUGGUGGGCUGCUAUGUUGGUGGGCUGCUGCGUGCGUGUGGGAGUUCGAAGGGAGGGGGAUCGAACGAGGUCGAACCAUCACGACGUUCGAUCCCGCUUUAAUAGUAGAGAUUCGGGCAUAUGACGUCCAAAUGAGGCAUGUGAUUGUAAUAUGAUGUGUUUGUGAAAUGCGAGCAGUAGCCUUGUGAUUUUGAUAGCUCGGUGAUGGCGGGCGAAGCCACCAAGCAUCGACACACAUCCUAACCAAUUUGAUUUGGUGUCAUCUUGGAUCUGACUAAUGGAUUAAUAUUCUUGUAGGUUGAUUUGAAUCCCCGGGUAUGUGGUUAUGCAUGAGCUGUGGAAGCAAAGGUGUGUGUCGGCUGGUUAUGCAUGAGCUGUGGAAGCAAAGGUGUGUGUCGGCUGGAGCUGAUUUACGGGGCUGUCAUUUGGAUGGUACCAAACUGUAAUAAUACAGACUCCCACUCAAAAUUUCACUGCACCAAAGGCUCUCGUCAGGAUGGCAAACCUAGGGAGUUCAGGCACCAUGAAACAUAACUUCCUUUGCCAUCGGAGAGAAAGAAGACGGUAGGCGCGCUCAGGAGAUGACGCAGCAACAACCGUCGAGCGGAGGUUGUGUUUGGAGGCGACCAGCAGAGGCUGCAGCUCCCACAGCUCGCGUGCGAACGAUGUGGCCGGACGACGAUUGAAGCGGCGUUUCUGUUUUGGCGGCGUGCUUUCGCGUGUGGAUGGAGCUCGUACGCCAGGAAGAACUGGCGUCUUGAUGGAGCUCGUACGCCAGGAAGAACUGGCGUUCGUUGGCGGGUCGAAGAAGUUUGAUUUUUGGUCGAUGGACCUCGUCCUCGUUCGUGGGUUGCGGAGCUGUUUUUUUGUUGACUGGGCGCGAUCGUGGGGUUCCAUGGACUUAUCGUUCGUGUGUUGAACUGUGGAUCUCGUACGUGGGCUGAGUUGUUGUAUUUUUUUUUGCGGGCGCUGAGUUGGUGUUUUUUCGUACGUGGGCUAUGUUGGUGGGCUGCUGCGUGCGUGUGGGAGUUCGAAGGGAGGGGGAUCGAACGAGGUCGAACCAUCACGACGUUCGAUCCCCCUUUAAUAGUAGAGAUUCUCAAUGGGCAUACCUGCUGUUAUCUUGCCAAAGCCCAAGUUUAUACAAUUUGCUUCUCUAACUACAAUGUCAGUACAUUAUGCUAGGUCAGGAUGGCAAACCUAGGGAGUUCAGGCACCAUGAAACAUAACUUCCUUUGCCAUCGGAGAGAAAGAAGACGGUAGGCGCGCUCAGGAGAUGACGCAGCAACAACCGUCGAGCGGAGGUUGUGUUUGGAGGCGACCAGCAGAGGCUGCAGCUCCCACAGCUCGCGUGCGAACGAUGUGGCCGGACGACGAUUGAAGCGGCGUUUCUGUUUUGGCGGCGUGCUUUCACGUGUGGAUGGAGCUCGUACGCCAGGAAGAACUGGCGUCUUGAUGGAGCUCGUACGCCAGGAAGAACUGGCGUUCGUUGGCGGGUCGAAGAAGUUUGAUUUUUGGUCGAUGGACCUCGUCCUCGUCCGUGGGUUGCGGAGCUGUUUUUUUGUUGACUGGGCGCGAUCGUGGGGUUCCAUGGACUUAUCGUUCGUGUGUUGAACUGUGGAUCUCGUACGUGGGCUGAGUUGUUGUAUUUUUUUUUGCGGGCGCUGAGUUGGUGUUUUUUCGUACGUGGGCUAUGUUGGUGGGCUGCUAUGUUGGUGGGCUGCUGCGUGCGUGUGGGAGUUCGAAGGGAGGGGGAUCGAACGAGGUCGAACCAUCACG